rnacentral:sRNA from 1 species
UGUAUGUAUCUCAGCUGAGAAUUUGAUCAUUUUGACUCAUUAUUUGAUUAUUCUAUAAAGAAAACCUUGUAUAUUAUUGGCUUUAUUACAGGGAAAUUGGACUCCUUUUGCUCAUUCUAUAAGAUUUGUUUGUACGGAGUCCUAUAACCAAGUGGACUCCACAGAAAACUGGGUGGGUCCUGUUACAUGGAUAAACCCCCUUGAUAACACCUUAUAUCCGCGUAUCGGACAUACUGUAUUGAUCUUGUUGUUGAAUGAUUGCAUCUAAACCUGUUUCUCUGCGUUUUGAACCAGGAUGUUCUGCUGCUGCUGAUUUGAAAUCCAAAUGAUUUAGUUUUUGUAUCCCUUUGUCUAUUAACUAGACUGUUAGCUCAGAAGUACCAACCAUAAUUUCUCAUACUAAAAUAUAUACAAUUCUCAGCCCCGGUGGCCGAAUGGGUAAUGCGGCCACCUGGUAGUCCCUUGAUAUGGGGACCCAAAAUGUGUGGGUUUAAAACCCACAGAGGAC